rnacentral:tRNA from 1 species
GUCGGGGUAUCACAGCGGCUAUGAGCGGGACUGCAGAUCCUGAUAUGGGGGUUCGACUCCCUCCCCCGACU